GGGACGAUAGCUCAGUUGGGAGAGCGUGCGAUUGAAGUUACUUCGAUCUUCGCAAGGUCGCUGGUUCGAUCCCGGCUCGUCCCA
rfam:Penicillium decumbens strain IBT 11843 PENDEC_contig003, whole genome shotgun sequence.